UAAAAUCUUAGUGGCGGACGGGUGAGUAACGCGUGGGUAACCUGCCUUACACUGGGGGAUAACACUUAGAAAUAGGUGCUAAUACCGCAUAAGCGCACGAAGCCGCAUGGAUUUGUGUGAAAAACUCCGGUGGUGUAAGAUGGACCCGCGUCUGAUUAGCUUGUUGGCGGGGUAACGCCCACCAAGGCGACGAUCAGUAGCCGGCCUGAGAGGGUGGACGGCCACAUUGGGACUGAGACACGGCCCAAACUCCUACGGAAGGCAGCAG
rnacentral:rRNA from 1 species